UUGGUUUCUGGGGUCAUCUGAGGUCACCAAUCAACCUGUGGGGUCAUCUGAGGUCACCACUCCUCAAUUCUUUGGGUUCUGGGGUCAUCUGAGGUCACCAAUUACCUUCUGGGGGUCAUCUGAGGUCACCGCUGCUAAGUUCUUUGGGUCCUGGGGUCAUCUGAGGUCACCAAUUAGCCUGUGGGGGUCAUCCGAGGUCACCGCUGCUAAGUUGUUUGGAUUCUGGGGUCAUUUGAGGUCACCAAUUAGCCUCUGGGGUCAUCCGAGGUCACCAAUCAACCUGUGGGGUCAUCCGAGGUCACCGCUGCUAAGUUCUUGGGGUUCUGGGGUCAUCUGAGGUCACCAAUCAGCCUGUGGGGUCAUCCGAGGUCACCGCUGCUAAGUUCUUGGGGUUCUGGGGUCAACUGAGGUCACCAAUUAGCCUCCGGGGUCAUCCGAGGUCACCGCUCCUCAAUUCUUUGGCUCCUGGGGUCAUCUGAGGUCACCA